GACGAACGCUGGCGGCGUGCCUAAUACAUGCAAGUAGAACGCUGAAGGAGGAGCUUGCUUCUCUGGAUGAGUUGCGAACGGGUGAGUAACGCGUAGGUAACCUGCCUGGUAGCGGGGGAUAACUAUUGGAAACGAUAGCUAAUACCGCAUAAUAGUAGAUGUUGCAUGACAUUUGCUUAAAAGGUGCAAUUGCAUCACUACCAGAUGGACCUGCGUUGUAUUAGCUAGUUGGUGGGGUAACGGCUCACCAAGGCGACGAUACAUAGCCGACCUGAGAGGGUGAUCGGCCACACUGGGACUGAGACACGGCCCAGACUCCUACGGGAGGCAGCAGUAGGGAAUCUUCGGCAAUGGACGGAAGUCUGUCCGAGCAACGCCGCGUGAGUGAAGAAGGUUUUCGGAUCGUAAAGCUCUGUUGUAAGAGAAGAACGAGUGUGAGAGUGGAAAGUUCACACUGUGACGGUAUCUUACCAGAAAGGGACGGCUAACUACGUG
rnacentral:rRNA from 1 species